GGCUUCUGCAUCUUGCUUCCAGCGUGAACAGACAGCAGUCAUCACACUGUAAUAAUUUUCUCCCGCUUCACCUGUGGUCUCUAUGAAUAACAGAGUGGGGGGAAAAAAAGAAGAAGGAGAAGAUGAAUUUGGCUUAGUGUCUGAUGAUCAUGCUGGCAAGGAAUUUAUCUCUGUCUAGUGCUUUUGUGGCAUUCUGGACUGAAUAGAAAAAAUGGCACAAUUUCGUAUGGGGACUCUGAAGAAAACUAGUGAAGCUUUUUCAAUGUUUCC